rnacentral:rRNA from 1 species
AUACGGAGGGUGCAAGCGUUACUCGGAAUCACUGGGCGUAAAGCGCGCGCAGGCGGGCUGAUAAGUUGGAUGUGAAAGCCUACGGCUCAACCGUAGAACUGCAUCCAAAACUGUCAGUCUAGAGUGUGGGAGAGGAAGAUGGAAUUAGUUGUGUAGGGGUAAAAUCCGUAGAGAUAACUAGGAAUACCAAAAGCGAAGGCAAUCUUCUGGAACACUACUGACGCUGAGGUGCGAAGGCGUGGGGAGCAAACAGGAUUAGAAACCCCGGUAGUCC